rnacentral:rRNA from 1 species
GACGAACGUUGGCGGCGUGCCUAAUACAUGCAAGUUGAGCGCUGAAGGUUGGUACUUGUACCAACUGGAUGAGCAGCGAACGGGUGAGUAACGCGUGGGGAAUCUGCCUUUGAGCGGGGGACAACAUUUGGAAACGAAUGCUAAUACCGCAUAAAAACUUUAAACACAAGUUUUAAGUUUGAAAGAUGCAAUUGCAUCACUCAAAGAUGAUCCCGCGUUGUAUUAGCUAGUUGGUGAGGUAAAGGCUCACCAAGGCGAUGAUACAUAGCCGACCUGAGAGGGUGAUCGGCCACAUUGGGACUGAGACACGGCCCAAACUCCUACGGGAGGCAGCAGUAGGGAAUCUUCGGCAAUGGACGAAAGUCUGACCGAGCAACGCCGCGUGAGUGAAGAAGGUUUUCGGAUCGUAAAACUCUGUUGGUAGAGAAGAACGUUGGUGAGAGUGGAAAGCUCAUCAAGUGACGGUAACUACCCAGAAAGGGACGGCUAACUACGUG